AGAGUUUGAUCAUGGCUCAGAAUCAACGCUGGCGGCGCGCUUAACACAUGCAAGUCGAACGAGAAAGUGGAGCAAUCCAUGAGUAAAGUGGCGUACGGGUGAGUAACACGUGGGUAAUCUACCUUUUAGUGAGGAAUAACGAUGGGAAACCGUCGCUAAUACCGCAUGAGCCCCUAAUCCGGAAGGAGAGGUGGGGAAAGUCGCAAGACGCUGAAAGAGGAGCCCGCGGCCGAUUAGCUAGUUGGUGGGGUAAGAGCCUACCAAGGCUGAGAUCGGUAGCCGGCCUGAGAGGGCACACGGCCACACUGGCACUGAAACACGGGCCAGACUCCUACGGGAGGCAGCAGUGGGGAAUCUUGCACAAUGGGGGCAACCCUGAUGCAGCGACGCCGCGUGAGCGAUGAAGCCCUUCGGGGUGUAAAGCUCUUUCGUCAGGGAAGAUCAUGACGGUACCUGGAGAAGCAGCUGCGGCUAACUACGUGCCAGCAGCCGCGGUAAUACGUAGGCAGCGAGCGUUGUUCGGAGUUACUGGGCGUAAAGGGUGUGUAGGCGGUUCUUUAAGUUUGGUGUGAAAUCUCCCGGCUUAACCGGGAGGGUGCGCCGAAUACUGAGGGACUAGAGUGCGGGAGAGGAAAGUGGAAUUCCUGGUGUAGCGGUGAAAUGCGUAGAUAUCAGGAGGAACACCGGUGGUGUAGACGGCUUUCUGGACCGUAACUGACGCUGAGACACGAAAGCGUGGGUAGCAAACAGGAUUAGAUACCCUAGUAGUCC
rnacentral:rRNA from 1 species